rnacentral:rRNA from 1 species
UGAGGAAUAUUGGUCAAUGGGCGCAAGCCUGAACCAGCCAUGCCGCGUGCAGGAUUGACUGCCCUAUGGGUUGUAAACUGCUUUUCUGCAGGAAGAAAGGUUGAGAUCCGUUCUUGAUUUGCCGGUACUGCAGGAAUAAGCAUCGGCUAACUCCGUGCCAGCAGCCGCGGUAAUACGGAGGAUGCAAGCGUUAUCCGGAUUUAUUGGGUUUAAAGGGUGAGCAGGCUGUGAUGUAAGUCAGUGGUGAAAGCCCGAGGCUUAACUUCGGGAUUGCCAUUGAAACUGCACCACUUGAGUAUAGUCGAGGACGGCGGAAUGAGUUAUGUAGCGGUGAAAUGCAUAGAUAUAACUCAGAACACCGAUUGCGGAGGCAGCUGUCUAGGCUAAUACUGACGCUGAGUCACGAAAGCGUGGGGAUCAAACAGGAUUAGAUACCCUGGUAGUCCACGCUGUAAACUAUGAUCACUCGUUGUUGGUUAUGUAAUAAUCAGCGACCAAGCGAAAGCGAUAAGUGAUCCACCUGGGGAGUACGUCGGCAACGAUG